CUUAAUUUAAUUUAAUUUUUUUCGAUCUAUUCAAAUUAAUAAAAAGUAAAAAAUAAAACUAUAAACUAACUUAAAUACAAAAUAAACCCAAAGAGACUAUAACUCAAUACAAAAUAAACCCAAAGAGAAUCCGAGUCUUAGUACUCAAUACCUUGAUCCGACAUAAGCACUCUCGGGCUUCAUGCAACCUUCAUCCUCUUUCAGCAGAAUCAAUGACAACUCCAAGUCAAAACCAGUGAAAGGUCAUUCUACAAACAGCUAAAGACUUUGAAAAUACUCACUUAAGAAUAGAGAAAAAAAAAGAUCAAGAUUUUUAAAAAAGAACAUACACUGCAAGAUGGAAAAUCCAAAAAACCAAAUGGAAGCUGUAGAGGUGAAACACAUUUUUUAUCACAUCAAGGAGCUCGCAAACGUAUCGAGGGAAGCUAUCUUCGCUCAGAUCCUUGUCAGGAGGAAAGGAAGGCGUGUUCUUCUGCGAUAAAUGUGCUUUCGAAGAAUUGGCUCCACGAACCAUCGCCAACAUCUCUUCCUUGUUUGAAAACCCAGAGGAGCACAGAGCAAGGAGAAAAUAGCUUCUGCAAACAACACAACCAAAGAAAAAACAAAACCAAAAAAACAAAAAUAUAAAUACAGAUCAAAAUUUCCCUCACUCUUAAAAGGAAAUCUGUAAAAAGUAAAGUAAAACGUUAUUUAUUCACACAACCACAUCUAGAGACCGUAUUCUGGAUGAGGACAGGAGACGAUAGUCUGCCAUCAAAAAAAGUAAGGGACGGCCACGCAAACUGAUGACAGAAAAGAGUGAACCCGCUGUAAAAAUAGAAGGAAAG
rnacentral:lncRNA from 1 species